rfam:Acidobacteria bacterium 13_1_20CM_3_58_11 13_1_20cm_3_scaffold_60, whole genome shotgun sequence.
CAGUGGGAGGCAGUCCCACCCGGCAGCUUUCGCUCCGGCCGGUAGCAAUCGGAGCGGUCGUGGAGGAAACGAAGCGGCCGAAGCCUUCGGUGCACAGGGUCACGUAGGUGACUUGGCAAGCACGCAGACCGCAGCGGUA